AUCAGCUCGUCCUUGAGAGCGAAGGGGAGAGAGAAAGCGAGAGGACUGUAUUAUUGCUUAGAAUCAGAGGAGGGGUUAUGGAUUGAUACAGAUAGUCACCCCCGCCAAGCCAACCCCAGUGCAGGCUGAAUUAAUGUGUUGCUAUUUUUGGGAGCCCCGUGUUUCCAGGGGAGACCUAAUGACGCAAUGACGUCAAUGCGGGUCAAUCGCAGACUGGAGGAAUUGAGUGGCUUCCAUUUGGGGCUUUUGCAGUAUUUCCUACAGAAAGGAUGGAAACGAAUGCAAAAUGGAAGUGUAUUUCCUCCAAAAAAUGCAUCGAAACUAGAGCUGAAUGAAAAUGCAGAAGUGAAAGUGAUCACAGUGGCACCACGUCGCCCCAACCCUUCGAGCAUCAGCGAUAGUAAAGGGAGGUGUGUAUUUAAGGAUGCUUUUAUUCUCUCCUCAUCCACAGCGCAUCUGUGGGAUAAUACCUACCAGUAACCAGCAUGUGGAAUGACAUUUUCGAGAGUAUUUUUGUGUGUUGAUUUGAUUUGAUGUACACAGAGCUCUCCGACUGUUUGUUCCUCGUAUGAUCUAAGAGUACGUAUUGUGUUGUUUCCCCGUCGUAAUGCUGUAUGCUUUCUAUCUCUCUGCUAUUAGCUACACGCCUACUUUGUUAUUAUUUGCAUUAUCUGUUUCUGUUUUUUUUUUCCACCACGAAGGGCUUUACACAAUCCUGACCUAUUCCACGCGCUCACAUCUAAGCGCACAGAGGAAACGAGCACCUUCUCCUGAUCCUCAUCUCAUUAAACAAUCAAUUAGACAUUUAUUCUGGAUUCUAUAGCCGCUUUCAUGUUCAUUUUUUUAAUAUAUAUUGCAGGGUUUGUGUGGUUGUAAGAGUAACAGUGGCUAUUGUGGAUGGAGAUUGUGCGCGUCAUGGUUGCUCGCAACUCGCGCGCAGCCAAACGCUGGUGAUGCAUGGAGAUAUCGUCUUUGUACAAACUUUGAAUUCGCCUGUAGAUCAUUUCUUCACAGUGGAAGUUUUAAUUGGUCAAGGUGCCUUUUGUGUGUGUUUCAUUUGAUCCAUCCAUCCAUCGGAAGGUGAUUUUUUUUUCAGCGGGUAUAGUACAGGCUACUGGCCAGGUGACGUGGGUAAAGUGCAACCCCACAGUACAAGAAAAACCCCAGGAGAGAUGUAUGUUGCAUGCAUCGAGAUGCAGGAUUACACACACGUACACAUAUUGUCGGCCACAUUGAGUCAGACAGACGCACACUUGCACACAUGCACAGUGUCGUGAGAGGAGGUAGAGUGGUGGGAGGGGGGGAGAGAGUGGGGGUGGGGGGUUAGGGCGUUUACCGGCAGGGCUGGUGUGAGGCUUUCAGCACCAUGGACAGCUCACAUGAAGCUCAUCUGCUCUGGUCCAUACUAUUAUCUGUCCACACAGGCUGCAGCAUCAUUGUUUGGCACUGCAACAGGCCACAUCACUGCCCCCUUCAUGGUAAAGUCAGAUUAUUUUUAGGUUUUUGUGCUUGUUCUUUGUUAAUUAUUAUUUUGGUUUGCAGGGAUAUUCAUAUAUUUUAUCUUGUAAUCAGUUACAGGCGCUUACAUGGUAAAUUGUACCCUAUCAAGUUUUGGCUGUCCUCCACCUGUUGGAAAUAGAUUUAGCCAUCCAGUUUGGUCAAAUGGUGUAAUGUUGAAAAAAAAGUCACCGCUGCCUUACAGUAUUUUCAGCUUGAUUAAUACGCCCUCAGAGCAAUUGUGGUCAUGGAUCAUUUUGGAUUUUACACCAACUUGUGCUCCCCAAUGACAGUACCCCAAACUACAUUACCCCACCACCAAAAACUAGAUCCUUCUUUGCUUUCUGGGUCAGUUUGAAACUAAGCUUUAUGCAAACUUAAGGACAUGCACCCUUCCCUUUUCUUUUGUCAAUGUUUUUUUGCUUUCAUAAUUUGCAAACUGCACAUUUUGUCUUUGGAAAUUGAGAAAAGCUCCAGCAUUGUUGAGAAUAUUUCAAUUAUGGGCACACGUUCUCAAGUUUUAUUGGAUUUUAUUUGGUUUCAGUUCAGUCAGACAUGUCAAGCUUGGUUGUAUCUUUACUUUAGAUUUUGCAAAACGUUUACUUUACCACUAAUGUAUAACAACUUUUUAAGGAGUGAAGUGUGAAAACAGUUAACCUCAAAGAAGAAUUCAUGGAGAUAGGAGUUGAAAAACUGUUAAAUACCAUUAAACUAUCAUUGAAUUGUUGUUGAAUUUUGCAGGAAAAAUGCUGUUGGCCACCCAGUUAUUUUUUGUUAUUGACUUUAUGAUGUCUAUAUUAAUGUAUGUCGGAUUACAUGUUUUGAUGAACUUGUCCCAUCCGUUGUUGCUGUGAUGUUGAUCAUACCCUGAGAAAGCUAAAUUGAGCAAUUACUGGCUUCAAACACAUUAUAAUCACUCAAUGAAUAUACUAGAAACAUAUACAGUCAAAACUGAAAGAAUUUAUCUUUAAGUUGGAGCGUUUAUCAAUCUAUUUACAAAGCCAUGCGGAUUUUAAAAGCAUGAGACCAGACAACAAACUUGAACACUAUAAUCACUUAUUUGACACCAGAAUGUAACAGCUGGUGCUGUCCUGUUCAGAUUAAAAUUAGCUGACAAAAGGUUUUGCACGGUCUCAUAUAACUGUUUUAUUCUUUUUAUGAUGUGGCCCCACAGUGACAUGAAUGUGAAAAUGAUAGUAGCUCGUUACUUCUUUUAUAUUUGUUGUGGCUCAAAAUUUUGAAUCACAAAUAUCAGUAUAUUUAUCAAAGCUUGAUGCUUUUGAGUGUCAAACUUCUACCCUAGACAUCUUGAAAUCCCUACAAAGGCUCUAAUAUGACAGACUUUGAGUUUAACGGAUCUGUAACUGUGUGUUUCAGAUGCUGGAUCAACAGUGUGAGAUCAAGUCAGUGAUUUCAGCUGAUAUGUUUUGUUCUUUUCAGGUCUUUUUGCGGUCUGGGCUUGCUGUCACAUGGCUAUCCAGGAAGCCCUUACCCCAAAAAGCAUCUGCAAGGGACCAAUUACAUCAAGGGGAGUCCUCAAUAAGCUCAUUUUACAGUGUGGAACAAUUUUUUCUCCUUAAUUUGUACAUAAGGCAAUUGUGAGCAGUUAUCAGAGGUGUGUUUGACUUUUUAACUCAACAAUAGUCAUAAAUGAACAUAAAAUCCACCAUAGUAGGCGAUAACAUCAUACCAGUCUGCUUGAUCCUUUUUGGUGGACAUCUCAGCAGCAGUAUUGUACUGUUCUUUUAGUGAGCAAGUCACUGUUUUGACUGACAUCAAGUAAAAUGUAAACCUCUUCCUGACUGUGAUGGAUUGAGCACCUGACAGCCAUACUCAAGUGAAAGUAAAGAUACCGUGUUGGUUAAUUGGUAGAAAUUAAACUCGGGUGCUUGAGUAGAAGUCUUCAAACAUCUAAUGUAUUUUGUGUUCGAGUAUGAAAAAGGGUUUUCUCAAAGUAAUUGUAUUUAUCUAUUGGGUGUAGAACUACAACUAAAUAAUGUCAGUGAAGAUUACGAUGGUCUGGAUUUGAAGAAUUUGAAUCCAAAUGUCAAAAAACAAGGUUUUCACAUCAUAAAGACUGAUGGAAGAUACCUGGUGGAAGAGCAGCAACGUAACUCAAAGUCACCACAUCUAAAUAGUUAAACAUGUCUCUCAAUUAUUAGUUUUAUGUCAGUUAAGCUGCUAUGUAUCAUCAGUUUUGAAUUAUAUCAUGCUAUUUCACAGUACACCAAUCCCCCAUUUUUUCUUAUUUCUAUAUAAUGUGUGUGCAGUAUAAAGUGGAGGUCAGUAGGGGUUUGGUGGUUAGUGUAGCAAGAAGUUUUUAGGUAAUUAGCCCUUAUUUUGUGAAACUUAUUGUCUAAACAUUGAAGAUAAUUUACCUCACAUCUUGCAGGCUCCUGCGAUUGGUAAACAUUUUAUUUAUUUAUUGUUCUUCUCUGCACUUGCUCUUUUCCUUCUUUGAGUUUUUUUUCUCCUGUUGACAUCCAUAUUGUUGAAUCUCUACUCCUCUUUGUUUAUCCUUUGGAAAUAUAUUUUGGCUUUUAAAUGUUGUGCAGUUAAUAUGCUGUUAAAACUAGCAGGUUACCAUGUCUAAAUGACCAACAUUGAAAGCUGUUACAAGAAUCCUAAGCAUUUCUGGAGCACUGCACUUUAUGUCCAGAAGGUGGCCUUAUUGCUAAAGAUUUGUGACUGAGUUUAAAUUUGAUUUUAAUUUCACACACAUUACAAAAUCUCUGAAUACAUACAUUCAAAACCUGUGAGAAUCUGUCGCCUUGAGCCUGUUCUCAUCCACGAUAACAAUGCUAUGACCUGUCCGUAACCUUGGCUUACAUGAAUACGCUUGCCUCCCUGUGUAUUUCUGUUAUUAAAUAUCUGCAAAUAUCUGGAAAAGUACACAAGUCUAUGAUUUUGAUAUGAAGUUGUUACCUCUGCUAAAAAUGUAGUUGCCUGAAAAAGCCAUGUGCUGAUAGUAAGUAAGUUAUGAGAUCCCAAGAACAUAUCUCCACUCUUUAAAACACAUCACCAGGAAAUGGUAAUUUCCUAGUAAUUACUAAUUUCUGCAGCAACCAACAUUUCUUCUGCCAAAAAGUUCUGUGGUAUCCCGCCAAAUAGGUUAAAUACACAAAUUCACUCAAGAAAAAAAAGGUUAGCCAGUUUUGUCCAUAUCUGCACAACAGUGAUGAGCUAUUUCUUACAGUGAAACAUGGCAGCACACAUAAACCCAUGAUUAAAACUACUUUUCAUCCACUGAACACAAUCCUUGAAAAAGUUGUGUUUCCUGAAAUGUACUGCCUGAAGCUCAUCAUAAAUGUCUUUGUCCACAGUAUGUUAUUUAGAAACUGCAGCUGUUUCAGGAAUGUCGUUUUUGUUCACUCCAACAGCUCUGUAGGCAGCAGUGUCUGAUAUUUCCCCCUGACAGUCAGCAGCAUUUGAUUUUAGAGGUCCUUCUCAGGGGUUCAGACUAAAACAUCAAAAUUAAAAAACCUAUAUAAAGAGGUAUAAACAUUUGUCAUAAUUAUCCAACAUUGUAUUACUGCAGUUGAAAAUACGACUAACAGUCAGGGUUUUAAGCAGCACAGAACUAACCCUUGUACCUUUGAGGUAUGCGUAGACAUGGUGUUGAGCAGAUAUAUUUUGUUUCUGCUUCACGAUCUUUUUCAGUGGAAGAACGGUCAUAAUGGCUCAACACUGCUGUGUUUUCGCUUGUCAUAAAGUGUUAGCACAAAGUGUAAAUUCUGUUUAAUUCUAGCAAAUCAUAUCACACAACACCCUUCCUCUGUAGCUUUAACAUUGAAGAUAUUUGGAGAAUAAAACAUCUGAACACUCCGGUGUUCACAUGGAGUGAUAAAAGAGGUGUUAGUAAAUCAAGAAUUGAUAUUUAAAUUAUUUCUCAGAUUUUUUAUAAGAACUGUAUUAAUUUGGAAAUAUACCCCACCCCCCUUGCACCUUUUAAGGCUUUAUGUAUUACAUAUGGGACAUAGUUUGUCAAGCUUACAGCUGCCGUGUCCGUAGAAACUUAAUACUUAAUAACUUAAAAAAUUAAUAAAGUAAAAUUAGGGUUACAGAAGUCAUUUCAUGGUUUCAGUUCAAAAUCAGUAGGGUAUUGACUGAGAACUUUUCAAAUUUGGUUUUUUUUUUUGGAAAAAUUCUGUGAUUUGGCUAAGAGGCGUUCAGGGUGUAAAUUUUGUAACAAGGAUUACUUAUUUAUCUUAUUUUUAAAAGAGUGGAAACUGGGACUAACUAACCUGAAAAUUCAGCCAGAGGGCCUGAACAAUCAAAAAGUAAAAUGUGUAUUCCUGGGGUCCACAACAUGAUGGCUGGAGGAAGGUGGAUGGAAUACAUACAUUUUUUAAUUUUAAUUUUGAAAUAUAUAAUAUCAAGCAUUCUUUAAAAGUGUUGUAGUUCUUGAUGUUGCAAAGUAUCAGCAGACAGCUACCUGACAGUUAAAAAACUAUUGUUUAAAGUGAAUUGGAGGAAUUUGAUAACUAUCACAUUUGAGGAAAUUAAGAAUGUAAAAGUAGAAAACUUGAACAGGCUCCUUUUUACUUGAUUUCUUCUUAUACAGUACAGAAAAAUAAAAUCUUCAAACAACCAUGACCCAAGAGUUGGUCACUUCAGUUCCUAAAUCAAAAAAGACAGAUCUUUUCCCCAUAACUACGGGGUCCAAUGAGACAGAGAUAUUUGCUCUAUUACUAGCUAAAAAACAUAAGAUGGAAGUGGAUUCAAUCACUAUAGUCAGGUUUCUUGUCAAAAAGGCUCAUCAUGAACAACAUCACGGCAUGCCAGUGAUGGACAAUCUGAAUCAUUUGGAUCUACAAGAAAUCUGGUUUUGGUGAGUAUUUCUUUUGGGCCAUAAAACUCUUUGUAAGUAACGUAAUGGUUUCAUUAAAUUAUUGGGUAGUACAUCUCCUAAAUGUGUUACGUCUGCAGGCAUUAUAGGCAAAUACCUCCCCAUACCUCUUGGAUCAUUGCUUUUGUUUGACUGUAUUAAAUAUAGUGCUUUAAAAGGUAUUUCUUCUUUUCGUUAAGAGCUGAUCCUAACUCUGCUAACAGAUCACCACACCACACGAUAAGUAUUUUUUAAUUCAAACCUAUUUUUAUAGCCAUUAAAUUAAUCAAAAGCAAACUUACAUUCCUGACAUUUGCAUAACAUUUUCACAAGAAAUAAAGCCAUAAUUCUUUAUUACUCAGGGUUAACACAAGAAGCCCUAUGUUGGUCAACAUGUUAAAUAUGUAUCUUCUCUAUUUGUCCAGUUUUCCUUGUAAAGACAGAACGACUUAAAAAACAAUACUUCCAAGAAGAUGUUACAACAUUACUAUGGGUUUGUUUGAAGAAGGCUUGUCUUAAAUCUUAAAGAUAUUUGAUUAUGAUCAAGGUUGAAAAUUUUCUUUUACAGUCAUCAAUACAUUUUAUCUUGGUAAAAGUUACAUUUGGGAAAGAUUUAAGUCCUAUAUAGAUGUAAAAUGCAGUUUUGUAACUACUGUCCUGAAACUGCUUUGCAUUUCUUUUGGUAUUGCCCGAUUGUAAAAAUGUUCUUGGGAAAAAUGAUGUGACUAUAGAGACAAUAAAACUAGUAAACCUUUUUGUUUUAUUCUUUCAAAUUGAAAACAUCAAAGAAUAUAAUACAUUAAUCAUUAUAAAUGGGUAGGACUAACAUUACAGCCCAGUAACAAGCAUGUAUUUAUCUCCUCACCUUGUUAAAUCCACUUCUGUCUUGAUAGAGUCUUGUUGAAUUUCUUCAUUAAUAUCAUCUGACCUUGUAACAAAUUCACAUUCAUUAUGUCUUGACUGGUAAGAUUUCAUUAAAAUUUCCCUUUAAGAUCUUGAAUUUUUUCAAUGCCUUUCAAUUUUUUAAUCCUUUUGAUUUGAUUAAUAAGUUAUUUGGCUAUAAAGAUGGAAAACCUGCAAAUUUAAUGUUUUAUUGAUUCCCCAAGGUUUCCAUAAUUACCAGUAACUGGUGUUCCAUAAAUAACAGUGAGUGUCCAAUUACCAGAACCAUAUUUCUGUGUGUAUACACCCUGUAGGUUCAACUUUAUCAAGAUUUCAUUGUGAUCUGCCAAAAUAGCUAGUUUUAUCAAAACAACUGUGACCAGAAUAGCAAGAUCAUUAGAGGUGAGCCAGAAAUCAAUUCACGAUCGUAAGGAGAGAUUGUGAUUUUACUUUAUUUGCAUAUUUUGAUGAGGGGUCAUGUUUUUUACAGGGCAAUAAUCUGUAUCAUCAUUACAAAACAGAAUAAUAACCACCUUCUUAGCUGUUGACAAGAGAUCAUUAGAACAAAGGUGGGAGAGUGCUGGUUCAACAUGUACAAUUAAUCAAUUAAUAUCAACUAUGCAAACAAUCCAUCUCCUAGACAAGUCUUUUUUUCUGUCCUCAUCUAUGCUGUCAAAUGGCGACCCCUGCUGAUCUUACACUGUCAUUGAAAAACCACAUCUCAGUACCCAAUGGAUUUUUUUCAAAAGGAUUCACCAGAUGAACUUGCAUUGGUUUCUUGAAAGAAAACCAGUACCUCAACUUCGCAGUACAAAACAGAGCUUUCCUCCAGAGUAGUUCUCUGAUAUUCUUGGCAUAUAUUCUCAGAAAGAGACACAAGGAUGGGUAAAAGAAAAACAAACGCUUGUAUGACACAGUGUUGACUUUUCCCAUUAUAUAGGGUUGAUG